rnacentral:rRNA from 1 species
CCUACGGGUGGCAGCAGUGAGGAAUAUUGGUCAAUGGGCGUAAGCCUGAACCAGCCAAGUCGUGUGAGGGAUGAAGGUUCUAUGGAUCGUAAACCUCUUUUAUAAGGGAAUAAAGUGUGGGACGUGUCCUAUUUUGUAUGUACCUUAUGAAUAAGGAUCGGCUAACUCCGUGCCAGCAGCCGCGGUAAUACGGAGGAUCCGAGCGUUAUCCGGAUUCAUUGGGUUUAAAGGGUGCGUAGGUUGUUUUAUAAGUUAGCGGUGAAAUACCGAUGCUCAACAUCGGGGCUGCCGCUGAUACUGUAGGACUAGAGAUCGGAUGCAGCAGGCGGAAUGUGUAGUGUAGCGGUGAAAUGCAUAGAUAUUACACAGAACACCGAUUGCGAAGGCAGCUUGCUAGGCCGGAUCUGACACUGAUGCACGAAAGCGUGGGGAUCGAACAGGAUUAGAUACCCCGGUAGUC